rnacentral:rRNA from 1 species
GUGAGGAAUUUUGCGCAAUGGGGGAAACCCUGACGCAGCAACGCCGCGUGAGUGAAGAAGGCCUUCGGGUCGUAAAGCUCUGUCGAGGGGGAAGAAAGAGGUUAAGGGUAAUGGAUUAAUUUUUGACGGUACCCCGAGAGGAAGCACCGGCUAACUCCGUGCCAGCAGCCGCGGUAAUACGGAGGGUGCAAGCGUUAUUCGGAUUUAUUGGGCGUAAAGGGCGCGCAGGCGGCUGAUUAAGUCAGAUGUGAAAUCCCAAGGCUUAACUUUGGAAGUGCAUUUGAAACUAGUCAGCUUGAGUAUGGGAGAGGGAAGCGGAAUUCCUGGUGUAGAAGUGAAAUUCGUAGAGAUCAGGAGGAACACCGGUGGCGAAGGCGGCUUCCUGGAUCAAUACUGACGCUGAGGCGCGAAGGCGUGGGGAGCAAACAGGAUUAGAAACCCGUGUAGUCC